UGCAGAGAGGACUCUCGGGGAGGACUCUGUUAUGGGUCAUCAUCUAAAACGGUGGGUCUGUCGUGAUGCAGCUGUUUGGGGUCUGCCAUAUCCAGCACAGAGACAUUCAGCGAUAAUUCCAGCUGACUGGAAGUGACCAGCCUGAGCUACCAGAUUCUGCCUCAAAAAGGACAAAUGUGUAUCUUUAUUAAAGAAUAAAGGAUUUAAGAAGGGGGGAAUUCUUUGACAAUAAUACUUAGUUCUCAUCUCAUAGAAAUAAAUACAUGGGA